CCUACGGGUGGCAGCAGUGGGGAAUAUUGGACAAUGGGGGCAACCCUGAUCCAGCCAUGCCGCGUGUGUGAAGAAGGCCCUCGGGUUGUAAAGCACUUUCAGUGAGGAAGAACGCCUGGUGGUUAAUACCCAUCAGGAAAGACAUCACUCACAGAAGAAGCAACGGCUAACUCCGUGCCAGCAGCCGCGGUAAUACGGAGGGUGCGAGCGUUAAUCGGAAUUACUGGGCGUAAAGCGCGCGUAGGUGGCUUGAUAAGCCGGUUGUGAAAGCCCCGGGCUCAACCUGGGAACGGCAUCCGGAACUGUCAAGCUAGAGUGCAGGAGAGGAAGGUAGAAUUCCCGGUGUAGCGGUGAAAUGCGUAGAGAUCGGGAGGAAUACCAGUGGCGAAGGCGGCCUUCUGGACUGACACUGACACUGAGGUGCGAAAGCGUGGGUAGCAAACAGGAUUAGAUACCCGGGUAGUC
rnacentral:rRNA from 1 species